AAAUUUGAAUUAUUUUUAACAUAGAUGAGUGAAUGUAGAAUUAGUCAUGAUAGCAUUUAGUUUAGGGUUUGGUAACAUAUGUUAUAGUAUUGUUGGUAUUUUUAGGAUUAGAUUUUGGAAUCUUAACUUUAAAAAAACUUGUUUUGACCUCCAUGUAUUUAGAUUUGUGUAUAUUAAACACUUUAUAAGUUGAUUAUAAGUUCAAUGAAUUAUUAUUUGCUAUUUAGUUAGUUAUUUGAUUAUGUUAGGUUUGGAAGACUUCUAGAAGACUUCACAAGAAGACUUCCAAGAAAUCUUCUGACUGAAGUCUUCUGACAUAUUCCCUCCUAAAUUUAAUAGAAUUUAGGUUUUCUGCCUAAAUUUUUGUAGAAUAUAGGUUUUCCGCCUAAAGGUGAAGUCUUCUAGAAAUCUUCGAGAAGUCUUUUCAUGCAUUUGAAUUUAGGAUCUAGAAGACUUCUUUGAAAAGACUUCUAGAAGACUUCUGGAAGACUUUACAUUUAGGCGGGAAACCUAUAUUCUACAAAACUACAUGAGAAGACUUCACUUUUAGACUUCCCAAGAAGUCUUCUAUAUCGAAAAUAUUAACCUAAUUGGGAUUUUUGUCUCCAUAUAUAAAGAAAAUUUACACAUUCUCUUUCUUCCUCUCAAAUAGUUGCAACAAAAAUGUAAUGUUUCUCAC
rnacentral:lncRNA from 1 species